AUUGAACGCUGGCGGCAUGCCUUACACAUGCAAGUCGAACGGCAGCAUAGGAGCUUGCUCCUGAUGGCGAGUGGCGAACGGGUGAGUAAUAUAUCGGAACGUGCCCUAGAGUGGGGGAUAACUAGUCGAAAGACUAGCUAAUACCGCAUACGAUCUACGGAUGAAAGGGGGGGAUGGCAAGACCUCAUGCUCCUGGAGCGGCCGAUAUCUGAUUAGCUAGUUGGUGGGGUAAAAGCCUACCAAGGCAACGAUCAGUAGCUGGUCUGAGAGGACGACCAGCCACACUGGGACUGAGACACGGCCCAGACUCCUACGGGAGGCAGCAGUGGGGAAUUUUGGACAAUGGGGGCAACCCUGAUCCAGCAAUGCCGCGUGAGUGAAGAAGGCCUUCGGGUUGUAAAGCUCUUUUGUCAGGGAAGAAACGGUAGUAGCGAAUAACUACUACUAAUGACGGUACCUGAAGAAUAAGCACCGGCUAACUACGUGCCAGCCGCCGCAGUAACAC
rnacentral:rRNA from 1 species